UGGGUGAUUAGCUCAGUUUGGUAGAGCAUCUCGUUUACACCGAGAGGGUCGGCAGUUCGAGCCUGUCAUCACCCACCAA
rnacentral:tRNA from 1 species